rnacentral:misc_RNA from 1 species
AAGUCGUAACAAGGUUUCCGUAGGUGAACCUGCGGAAGGAUCAUUAACACGUAUCCAACGUUAAACCCCCCUGUGAACUUUUAUACUUGCUCUCCUAGCCCGCCGGAAUUGCAAUCCCUGGUAAAUCAUUGUUGAACAGAUUUUGAUUCAGGGACCUCAGUUUGGUAGGCGAAGAUCGAGCGAUCGUUGCAAGUGGCCUGGUUUCCCCAAGCAGUCAGUGUCUGGAAGUGUCAUUGAUUGUGUAAGGAUAACGCUUUUCGAUCACUAGAGGCCGAACACCGGCCGGUAACCAAGAUAUCCAUUGUUAACAGUUGUUCGUUUUGUUGCCCAGCAGUUUCCUACGAGGCGAGUUCAGGUAGUGGGGUUAAUAUAGGGGGCCGAAGCCACGGCGACCUGGUUCUC